rnacentral:rRNA from 1 species
UACGAAGGGGGCUAGCGUUGCUCGGAAUCACUGGGCGUAAAGCGCACGUAGGCGGCUUCUUAAGUCAGGGGUGAAAUCCUGGAGCUCAACUCCAGAACUGCCUUUGAUACUGAGAAGCUUGAGUUCGGGAGAGGUGAGUGGAAUUCCGAGUGUAGAGGUGAAAUUCGUAGAUAUUCGGAGGAACACCAGUGGCGAAGGCGGCUCACUGGCUCGGUACUGACGCUGAGGUGCGAAAGCGUGGGGAGCAAACAGG